AAGGUCCUGGGUGCAUUGCUCCCGCCAGGGUAUCAGUGGCACGGAGCAGUGGAGGCGCAUCGCUUUUCCCUCCUCCCAGAGGGCACUGGACUAAGACUCAGGAGAUACUCUCUGUGCCUCCGUUUUCCUUUUGCAACCUUUAUCCGUCUGGUCUAUAUAGACUGUAUGCUCUUUGAAGCAGGAAAUGUCUCUCACUCUUUCGUAUAGUGAGACCAGGGAAGAGAAGGCAGCACUGCCCCGAGUCCCGUCUUCAGCCGAGGAUGGUUGAGGAGGAACUGAGGAGAGUGUGGGGCGCACGCACUCAGGAAGAUUCCAACUAGA